rnacentral:rRNA from 1 species
CGGCGGACGGCUGAGUAACGACGUGGGAACGUCCCAAAGUGAGGAAUAAACUGCCCGAAAGGGUAGCUAAUGCCGCAUAUGAUCUUCGGAUUAAAGUCUUCGGGCUUUGGGAGCGGCCCGCGUCGGAUUAGGUAGUUGGUGAGGUAAUGGCUCACCAAGCCGACGAUCCGUAGCUGGUCUGAGAGGAUGAUCAGCCAGACUGGAACUGAGACACCGGUCCAGACUCCUACGGGAGGCAGCAGUGAGGAAUCUUCCACAAUGGGGGCAACCCUGAUGGAGUCUUCGCCGCGUGCAGGAUGAAGGCCUUCGGGUUGUAAACUGCUUUUAUAAGUGAAGAAUAUGACGGUAACUUAUGAAUAAGCACCGGCUAAACUACGUGCCGCAGCCGCGGUCUACGUAGGGUGCCAGCUUAUCCGGAGUGACUGGGCGUAAAGAGUUGCGUAGGUGGUUUGUUAAGUAGGU